GCCUUCAUCGUGUAAUGGACAGGACACUGGGCGUGUAUUCCAGAGGUCCGUGGUUCGAACCCCGGCGAAGGCG
rnacentral:tRNA from 1 species